UACGAAGGGGGCUAGCGUUGCUCGGAAUCACUGGGCGUAAAGCGCACGUAGGCGGAUUGCUAAGUCAGGGGUGAAAUCCUGGAGCUCAACUCCAGAACUGCCCUUGAUACUGGCGGUCUCGAGUCCGGGAGAGGUGAGUGGAACUGCGAGUGUAGAGGUGAGAUUCGUAGAUAUUCGCAAGAACACCAGUGGCGAAGGCGGCUCACUGGCCCGGUACUGACGCUGAGGUGCGAAAGCGUGGGGAGCAAACAGGG
rnacentral:rRNA from 1 species